CGUGCCCGUCCCCCACGCAGAUCGUUCUGUUUCUGGUCGCAUAGCCGCCGCCGCCGCCCUUUCCGCCGUUCCGAUCGAGCGAUCCCGCCGCGGCACCGCUCCAGGCAAGCACCAGCAGUCGCCUACCUGGUGUCGCUCCUGCCACGAGGGUUCCGGCUCAACGCUAGGAACUGCUAACCGUCCGCUGCGGCGCGCCGAGCCCACCGAAGUCUUCCCUGCCCCGCCGCCCACUGCAGCGCCUCCCUUCCGUCAAGCAGCCGGCGAGGCGAGCACUCCGUCAACAGAGCUUGUUGUAAGAGAAAAAACCAUCAGUAUCAGCAUGAAAUUCGAGAUACACAACUCCUAGUAUGGCGGCAUCCACAUCGCUCCCACGAUUACUGCUUUUGAAGUUUGUGUAUGAUAUAAAAAUUAAUGGAUGUGCUAUGAUCUUGUGCAGAAGAGUCAGAUCAGUCAUAAUGUGGCCAAGUUCAAAUUUGUUUCCCUAAACCUACUUCUGUGUUGGGCCAUGCAAUUGGCCAAUAUAUAAGAUGCAGGUCUGAACACUUGUACUGCUCA